UAGGGAAUCUUCGGCAAUGGGGGCAACCCUGACCGAGCAACGCCGCGUGAGUGAAGAAGGUUUUCGGAUCGUAAAGCUCUGUUGUAAGUCAAGAACGAGUGUGAGAGUGGAAAGUUCACACUGUGACGGUAGCUUACCAGAAAGGGACGGCUAACUACGUGCCAGCAGCCGCGGUAAUACGUAGGUCCCGAGCGUUGUCCGGAUUUAUUGGGCGUAAAGCGAGCGCAGGCGGUUUGAUAAGUCUGAAGUUAAAGGCUGUGGCUCAACCAUAGUUCGCUUUGGAAACUGUCAAACUUGAGUGCAGAAGGGGAGAGUGGAAUUCCAUGUGUAGCGGUGAAAUGCGUAGAUAUAUGGAGGAACACCGGUGGCGAAAGCGGCUCUCUGGUCUGUAACUGACGCUGAGGCUCGAAAGCGUGGGGAGCGAACAGGAUUAGAUACCCUGGUAGUCCACGCCGUAAACGAUGAGUGCUAGGUGUUGGAUCCUUUCCGGGAUUCAGUGCCGCAGCUAACGCAUUAAGCACUCCGCCUGGGGGGUACGACCGCAAGGUUG
rnacentral:rRNA from 1 species